UCACUGUAACAACCAAAUGUGGUUCUGCCUUUUGUAAUUGACAAUAUCUCAAUCUAUCAAAGACUUCCACAGAAAAUUAAAUAACUAUUUCAUACUUGCAUGUUACUUAGCACUCCCUUCUAUGGCCAUUUAUUUGAGAGUUUUGUUUCUUAAUUUAGAUGUGACUUUUCAAGAGAGCGUAUUCUACACUUAUUUUUGCUCUUACCUAAUUAAGAAAACCAGGGCUUUUUUGGUCUUUCUCUCCUUGUUAAAAUGAAUAACAUGUGUACAUAGAUGGUCAUGGUUCUCAAUGAAAAGUGAUUGAGAGUUGCGAAGAACAAUGUAUGUUUGUGUAGUCUGUCUUUUCUUAUAAGUUUCAAGAAGGAAUAUCCUGCACACUUGUUUAGGAGAAGUUGAGCAAUGUAUCUAUUUAUCAUUUAAAGCAACAUGUAGAGCAUUCAUCUAUCUACCUAGGGGUUUAGCCCUGUAUACAUUUAAAAUAAUUCAUUUAUUAUCUCAUCUUCCUUUUACUAUGGCACUAGUUAUAUUAAUGGGCUUGUGUCCAAACUCCAGUUGUUCUGCCAAGGGUGCAUAUGCAUGUGCUAGACAACCUAUACCAUAUAACAACCCAACUUCAGUUGUCCUCUCAAUUCAACUGAUGUUGAAUUAUUGAACUUUCACAAAGAAACUCACUAGAGUUUUCAUAAUUUCUUUGGAAAUGUCACCAUAUUUUGGUGUUGGUUUUUUAUAUCUCUGAUGCAGCAAGACUAUGAAGAUGGUUUGAGGGAGCUUUAGAGUCAGUUGUCGAAGUGAAUUUCCUUGCAUGAAUUGCAAAGUAAUAUUCUUAAUGUGGGUGCUAAAGCGAUGGCUGGUAAUAAUGCACAACCUAGCUGCCAAACACCUUUGACCAUAGGAAGCAUUAUGUCAGGAAGUGGUUAGAAAGACAUUCCUAGGGACACACCAAAAGGGUUGGUUUUCCUUUGAUGAAUGAGAAGUGUAUUAGAGGAGAUAACGUGAUCCUGCAGCAAAGUUAUUGUGUUGACAACUACAACAUGGUGGUCCUUUUUGAAAAUGGUUGGGGCUGAUUAUGGCAUAGUGGUUGCUACAAACAUGAAAGGUGCUACAGUGCCUCACUGAGGUGAAUCAAAGUUGUCCCCUGGGGAAUGGUUGGUGAGUUAAUUGUUUCAUGAUCUAGUAAGAGAUUGUUUUAGAAAACUGAACAUAAUAAGCAUUAGACUCAUUUGGUGGUUGUUGAGUAUGUGAACUAUUACUUCAACAGGUGGGCUUUGUCACUGGUUGUCAGGCCCCUCCACCAUAGAUCUUGCAUGGAAAAUCAAAGCUGUUUGAUGGAGCAUGUCAGACCUAUUUUACUGACAUGUUGAUUGGAAAUGGAUUCUUCCAGGUGGAUCAUGGAUAAAAGUAAUGGGUCAAAUUUCUCAACAGGCCUAAAAGCUAUGAAUCCACAUGGAAAGAGAAUGGGAAAGGUAUUGUCAAAUGGUUGGCUUGAUGAAAUAAUAUUAUGAAGAAAGAAAGAGGCUUAGAGAUCAUUGAUGCAUUGGUGAGAAUUCCAAUUCCAUGGCAGUCAGAAAUGUUGCUUUAUAUGUGGAAUUGUUUUGGUGGACUUGAAGCAUUGGAAACAAGGGUACAAACAUAGUUUUAAAAGGCCCAAGGCACACCAAGGUGCAAAGUCCUCCUAGAGCUUGAUGCACAUAAGUAUUAGUGAAUGGAGCGUGACCUGAAAGGGAAGACAUGAUAUGGAGAAACAAUAUGAAGACAAUUUCUUGAAGAGGAACCCAGUCAUGGAAAUGUUAAUAGAAGCGACCUACUGGAAGGUGGUCUUGUGUGGAGCAGGUGAAAUUGGUCGUGAUGAGGAGAAAUUAUACGGAAACGUGCAGGGCUGUACAAGAGAAUGGAGACAUUAAAGCGAACGUGAAGCCCCCAUGUUAGUCAAAACGCGUGGGACCUCUUUGUCGCGCGUGUUGCGUAAUGCAUGGAAUGUCACACUGGGUUGGUGAACUUCUAUUUGGUCUCUGAGAUCAGUAGAUUGCAUCAUUUGUUAAACCUUACAUGCCUUUGGAUAUAUUUUUUAUUAUUUGCCUUUCUUUGUGUUUAAGCU